UACAGAGGUCCCAAGCGUUGUUCGGAUUCACUGGGCGUAAAGGGUGCGUAGGUGGUCGGGUAAGUCUGAAGUGAAAUCUCUGGGCUCAACCCAGAAAUGGCAUUGGAUACUAUCCGGCUCGAGGAGUGGAAGGGGGACUGGAAUACUUGGUGUAGCAGUGAAAUGCGUAGAUAUCAAGUGGAACACCAGUGGCGAAGGCGAGUCCCUGGACACUUCCUGACACUGAGGCACGAAAGCUAGGGGAGCAAACAGU
rnacentral:rRNA from 1 species